GACGAACGCUGGCGGCGGGCUUAACACAUGCAAGUCGAACGGAAAGGCCCUGCUUUGGUGGGGUGCUCGAGUGGCGAACGGGGGAGUAACACGUGAGUAACCUGCCCUUGACUUGGGGAUAACUUCGGGAAACUGGGGCUAAUACCGGAUAGGAGCUCCUGCUGCAUGGUGGGGGUUGGAAGGUUUCGGCGGUUGGGGAUGGACUCGCGGCUUAUCAGCUUGUUGGUGGGGUAGUGGCUUACCAAGGCUUUGACGGGUAGCCGGCCUGAGAGGGUGACCGGCCACAUUGGGACUGAGAUACGGCCCAGACUCCUACGGGAGGCAGCAGUGGGGAAUAUUGCACAAUGGGCGGAAGCCUGAUGCAGCAACGCCGCGUGCGGGAUGACGGCCUUCGGGUUGUAAACCGCUUUCGCCUGUGACGAAGCGUGAGUGACGGUAAUGGGUAAAGAAGCACCGGCUAACUACGUG
rnacentral:rRNA from 1 species